UCGUUAACGAACGAGACCUUAACCUGCUAAAUAGUUACGUUCACUUUGGUGGAUGUUUAACUUCUUAGAGGGACUAUGGAUGUUUAAUCCAUGGAAGUUUGAGGCAAUAACAGGUCUGUGAUGCCCUUAGAUGUUCUGGGCCGCACGCGCGCUACACUGAUCAAGUCAACGAGUUUACAACCUUGGCCGGAAGGUCUGGGUAAUCUUUUGAAACUUGAUCGUGCUGGGGAUAGUCCAUUGCAAUUAUUGGACUUCAACGAGGAAUUCCUAGUAAGCGUGAGUCAUCAGCUCGCGUUGAUUACGUCCCUGCCCUUUGUACACACCGCCCGUCGCUAAUACCGAUUGAAUGGCUA
rnacentral:rRNA from 1 species